UACGUAGGAGGCGAGCGUUGUCCGGAUUUACUGGGCGUAAAGCGCGCGCAGGCGGCACACUAAGUACGAUGUGAAAUCUCCCUGCUCAACGGGGAGGGUGCAUAGUAAACUGGUGAGCUAGAGGACGGUAGAGGGGGGUGGAAUUGCUGGUGUAGCGGUGAAAUGCGUAGAGAUCAGCAGGAACACCCGUGGCGGAAGGCGGCCCCCUGGGCCGAACCUGACGCUGAGGCGCGAAGGCUAGGGGA
rnacentral:rRNA from 1 species